GCUGCUCAGAAAGAAAUACCAACCAGGUAAAGGACGACACUGGCCCAAAGAAAUAGCCCACAUCCCAUACGUUUAUUUUGGAGACUGGGAGGACGAAGCCAAAGCCGACCGCGGGCUUUGAAUCAGCAAACUCACAACUUGUUUUUGUUGGAGACCACGGUGAAGAAGCCAAAGCCGACCGCUGGGCAUAGAAAUCAAAAUUAUGUUUACCUAUUUUCCGAUUUCUAUUACUAUAGAGCAGCAAGAAGUACAGGGUUGAGCAAUGGACCAGCUCAAGAGUCUUGAUCCACGCACCCUUCUAAUGCU
rnacentral:lncRNA from 1 species